rnacentral:tRNA from 3 species
GGGGGUAUAGCUCAAUUGGUAGAGCAACGACCUCUUAAGUCGUCGGUUCAGGGUUCGAGUCCCUGUGCCCCCACCA